UCUUGGUGCAAUUACUCUUUAAAAAAAAAAUAUAUAUAUAUUAUGUUAUAUAAUUGAGAAAAGUCUCAAUACAACAUGCAACGAAACAAAAUUGCAAAAUUGAAACAAAAUUCAGCAGAAUUCGCAUACUGAAGGUUGACAUAGUGUGAAGAAGGGGAAAAGCCUGAAGAACUGCUGGCCAAAACAAGACAACACAAUCCUAUCUGCCCUGUUUAAACGAGGUCCUGGGCUCAUCUGACUGGGGGUCAAUACUGAGGCCCUGUCUGAGUCUUUAUAAAGAGGUCUGAGUCUCUCAAAAGAGGUCCAGUCUUGGUCUGAGUCUCUCCUGUCUUGGUCUGUGUCUUUAUAAAGAGGUCCAGUCUUGGUCUUGGUCUGAGUCUUUAUAACGAGGUCUGAGUCUCUCCUGCCUUGGUCUGAGUCUUUAUAAAGAGGACCAGUCUUGGUCUGUGUCUUUAUAAAGUGGUCCGGUCUUGGUCUGAGUCUUUAUAAAGAGGUCCAGUCUUGGUCUGAGUCUUUAAAAAGAGGUCUGAGUCUCUCCGGUCUUGGUCUGAGUCUUUAUAAAGAGGUCCAGUCUUGGUCUGAGUCUUUAAAAAGAGGUCUUGGUCUGAGUCUUUAUAAAGAGGUCCAGUCUUGGUCUUGGUCAGAGUCUGAGUCAGUAUUAGAGUGUUGCGGGUCUUGACUCCAUCGCUGCAGUAUACCGGACCAAUAGGGGGCGCUGUCUCUCCGGUGUGUCGUCUGGUGUUUCGUAAGAGCUCUUUUCUCUGAGAAACACUUGCCACAGUCAGGGCAUUGGUACGGCUUUGCUCGAGGGCUCCGGUCUUGACUCAAUCUCUGUUUUUUACCAGGCAAAGAGAAAGCAGAGUUGUGUGCCCCUGACCCGUGUGUGUUGCUGUGUGUUUCUGUUCCGUGUGUGUU
ensembl:lncRNA